rnacentral:rRNA from 1 species
AUUGAACGCUGGCGGCAGGCUUAACACAUGCAAGUCGAGCGGAGAUGAGGUGCUUGCACCUUAUCUUAGCGGCGGACGGGUGAGUAAUGCUUAGGAAUCUGCCUAUUAGUGGGGGACAACAUUCCGAAAGGAAUGCUAAUACCGCAUACGUCCUACGGGAGAAAGCAGGGGAUCUUCGGACCUUGCGCUAAUAGAUGAGCCUAAGUCGGAUUAGCCAGUUGGUGGGGUAAAGGCCUACCAAGGCGACGAUCUGUAGCGGGUCUGAGAGGAUGAUCCGCCACACUGAGACUGAGACACGGCCCAGACUCCUACGGGAGGCAGCAGUGGGGAAUAUUGGACAAUGGGGGGAACCCUGAUCCAGCCAUGCCGCGUGUGUGAAGAAGGCCUUAUGGUUGUAAAGCACUUUAAGCGAGGAGGAGGCUACUGAGACUAAUACUCUUGGAUAGUGGACGUUACUCGCAGAAUAAGCACCGGCUAACUCUGUGCCAGCCGCCGCAGUAAAAC